rnacentral:rRNA from 1 species
GACGAACGCUGGCGGCGUGCCUAAUACAUGCAAGUCGAACGCAGUGGGGACGGGUGAGUAAAACUAGGGUAACCUCCCAUCAGAGGGGAUAACACGUGGAAACAGGUGCUAAAAAGAUACUGAUGGGUGGACCAGCGGUGAUUUCGCUGGUUGGUGGGGUAACGGCUCACCAGGGACACGAUGCAUAGCCGACCUGAGAGUGUGAUCGGCCACACUGGGACUGAGAAACGGCCCAGACUCCUACGGGAGGCAGCAGUAGGGAAUCUUCGGCAAUGGACGAAAGUCUGACCGAGCAACGCCGCGUGAGUGAAGAAGGUUUUCGGAUCGUAAAACUCUGUUGUUAGAGAAGCGGUAUCUAACCAGAAAGCCACGGCUAACUACGUGCCAGCAGCCGCGGUAAUAC